GAAGAUCAUACAUGAGACAAAACAUGAAAUAUCUUCUGCAAAAGGAACACAGAGUCCAAAUAUAUCACCGCAUACAACUUACAAGAACAGUAGAAUCAUUCCCAAAACGAUUAUCUUUCUAUACAUUGUUAACUGCCUAUUAAACUAAGGAUGUUCCUUAGCACUGUUUGGGGCCAACUUUUCAAUUUCUUUUUCAGGUUGCCUCUUUGCUCCAAAGAUGAAGUCUUUCACAGAACUUUCAGCAGACUGUAUCGCCCUCUUAAC
rnacentral:lncRNA from 1 species